rnacentral:rRNA from 1 species
UACGUAGGCAGCUAGCGUUGUUCGGAAUUACUGGGCGUAAAGCGCACGUAGGCGGCUUUGUAAGUUAGAGGUGAAAGCCCGGGGCUCAACCCCGGAAUUGCCUUUAAGACUGCAUCGCUUGAAUCCGGGAGAGGUGAGUGGAAUUCCGAGUGUAGAGGUGAAAUUCGUAGAUAUUCGCAAGAACACCAGUGGCGAAGGCGGCUCACUGGCCCGGUACUGACGCUGAGGUGCGAAAGCGUGGGGAGCAAACAGG